rnacentral:rRNA from 1 species
UUAAGCUAAUAAGAGCGCAGGGAGGAUGCCUUGGCAUCAGGAGCCGAAGAAGGACGUGGUAAGCUGCGAAAAGCUACGGGGAUUGGCAAGCACGAUAUGAUCCGUAGAUGUCCGAAUGGAGCAAUCCACAUGGAGUCAAGUCCAUGUAUCAUAUACUGAAUAAAUAGGUAUAUGAGGGGAACCGCCCGAACUGAAACAUCUAAGUAGGGCGAGGAAAAGAAAUCAACCGAGAUUCUGUGAGUAGUGGCGAGCGAAAGCGGAAGAGGCUAAACCGAGAGGAGCAAUCCUUUCGGGGUUUAGGACUGCAUUUAGUACAAUGAUUGUUAACCGAACAGCAUGGGAAGGCUGAUCAAAGAAGGUGAGAAUCCUGUAGGUGAAAACGAAAGUUGACGAGCAGUAUCCAAAGUACCGCGGGGCACGUGAAAUCCCGUGGGAAGAUGGGGGGACCAUCCUCCAAGCCUAAAUACUACCUGAUGACCGAUAGCGAAUAGUACUGUGAAGGAAAGGUGAAAAGCACCCCGGGAGGGGAGUGAAAGAGAACCUGAAACCCUGUGCUUACAAGCACUUAGAGCACGUCAAAGUGUGAUAAGGUACCUAUUGUAGAAUGGUCCGGCGAGUUAUUGUAUGCAGCGAGGUUAAGUAGUUCAGCUACGGAGCCGAAGUGAGAGCGAGUGUUAACAGCACGUUCAGUUGCAUGCAAUAGACCCGAAACCGGGUGACCUAUCCAUGUCCAGGAUGAAGUGAGGGUAAAACCUCAUGGAGGUCCGAACCCACUCCCGUUGAAAUGGUAGGGGAUGAGGUGUGGAUAGCGGAGAAAUUCCAAUCGAACCCGGAUAUAGCUGGUUCUCCCCGAAAUAGUUUUAGGACUAGCCUCGUGAUUAAGAUUAUCGGAGGUAAAGCACUGAAUGGCCUAGGGGUCGAGAGAUUACCGAAGCCUAUCAAACUCUGAAUGCCGAAUAAUCAUGCACGGGAGUCAGACUGUGUGAGAUAAGUUUCAUAGUCGAAAGGGAAACAGCCCAGACCUACAGCUAAGGUCCCAAAGUACGUUUAAGUGGAAAACGAUGUGAAAUUGCGUAGACAACCAGGAUGUUGGCUUAGAAGCAGCCAUACAUUAAAAGAGUGCGUAAUAGCUCACUGGUCGAGUGACUUUGCGCGGAAAAUUUAACGGGGCUAAAACGUACACCGAAGCUUAGGCUUGUCACAAUGUGACAGGGGUAGGGGAGCGUUGAAUGAGGGGUGAAGUCGUAGCGAAAGCGACGGUGGACUUCAUUCAAGUGAGAAUGCCGGAAUGAGUAGCGAGAAUUAUGUGAGAAUCAUAAUGGCCGAAAGCCUAAGGUUUUUGGAGGAAGGUUCGUCCGCUCCAAGUAAGUCGGAAGCUAAGGUGAGGCUGAAAAGCGUAGCCGAUGCACAAACGGUUGAAAUUCCGUUACCACAGAAAGAUUUAAACUAAGGGACACUUUUGAAGAGCUGAUGCCGGGUGUUGGUUACCCCGGUCGUAAGGGAACGAAAUUAAGUAGUGAAGUCAGCGUGGAUGAAGGCGAGAAAAGCUUAGUGUAUAUCUUAUGUGUCCGUACCGCAAACCGACACAGGUAGGUAGGAAGAGAAUUCUAAGGCCAACGGGAGAAGGGUAGUUAAGGAACUCGGCAAAAUGUCCCCGUAACUUCGGAAUAAGGGGAGGUUUCUACGGAAACCCGCAGAGAAUAGUCCCAGGCAACUGUUUAUCAAAAACACAGCUCUAUGCUAAAUCGAAAGAUGACGUAUAUGGGGUGACGCCUGCCCGGUGCCGGAAGGUUAAGAGGAGGAGUGAGAGCCCUGAAUCGAAGCCCCGGUAAACGGCGGCCGUAACUAUAACGGUCCUAAGGUAGCGAAAUUCCUUGUCAGGUAAGUUCUGACCCGCACGAAUGGCGUAAUGAUCUGGGAGCUGUCUCAACUGCCCGCCCGGCGAAAUUGUAGUACCGGUGAAGAUGCCGGUUACCCGCGACUAGACGGAAAGACCCCAUGGAGCUUUACUGUAGCUUAAUAUUGGAUUUCGGCAUUUCAUGUACAGGAUAGGUGGGAGACUAGGAAACAUAGGCGUCAGCUUAUGCGGAGUCGUCCUUGGGAUACCACUCUUGGAGUGCUGAAAUUCUAACCUGCAGCCCUGAAUCGGGUUGGGGGACAUUGUUAGGUGGGCAGUUUGACUGGGGCGGUCGCCU